rnacentral:rRNA from 1 species
GACGAACGCUGGCGGCGUGCCUAAUACAUGCAAGUCGAACGGGGUUGUCGGAGUGCUUGCUUUUUUGUGACCUCCGGGCACAUAGCUGAGUACGGGUGGGAUACCCUGGCUGUACCAGCCCUAUAACCCGGGAUAACCGGUGCUAAUUGGGGAUGUGCUGUAAUAGGUUCCUACCAUUUACUCGUUUUGGAAAUAAAGGUGCUUACUUAUGGAUGGGCCCCCCUCUCAUUAGCUGGUGGGUGAAGUAACGGCUCACGCGACGAUGGAUGGCCGGCGGCCUGAGUGGGUGGACACCCUGGGACUGACUGACACACCACACUCACUCCUACGGCAGGCAUGGGGAAUAUAUAUUGCUGAAUGGAAGCCUGACUGACCCACCCACCGUGCGUGAAUGAUGACUGCCUUCCGGUUGUCCCUGUUUGUCCUUGCGAAAGAAGGAACUGACCCCUGUGAGGAAGGAACCCCCGGCUACCUG